CAGAGGCCAGCGCCUCUGCCAGCACAGGGUCCCCUUAUACUUUACUGGAGAAUUUUAGUUUUUAUCAUAGAGCAUUGAUGUGUCACAUUAAAAAUGUUUACAAAGCAUUUUAUAAUCAUUAUUUACUGCCUUACAUAGCAACCCCACGCUGCAGUUCAGUCCUGCCUUUUAAACAGCAUGAACCACCUACUCACACAUAGGACCCA
rnacentral:lncRNA from 1 species